rnacentral:rRNA from 1 species
UUAACUUUGGAACUGCGAAUGGCUCAUUAUAUCAGUUAUAGUUUCAUUUGAUGAAGAAUACUAAUUGGAUAACCGUAGUAAUUCUAGAGCUAAUACAUGUAUAAAGUCUUGUAGACUGCAUUUAUUAGAAUGAAAACCAUAGGUUUCGGCCUAUUCGUGAGUAAUAAUAACUAAUCAUAUCGUAUGCUUAUGUAACGAUGUGGCUUUCAAGUUUCUGCCCUAUCAGCUUUCGAUGGUACCGUAUUGGACUACCAUGGCAGUAACGGGUAACGAAGAAUUUGGGUUCGAUUUCGGAGAGGGAGCCUGAGAGAUGGCUACCACAUCCAGGGAAGGCAGCAGGCGCGUGAAUUACCCAAUCCUGACACAGGGAGGUAGUGACAAUAAAUCACAAUGCGGAACAAUGUUUUGCAAUUGGAUUGAGAACAACGUACAAACCUUAUCGAUAAGCAAUUGGAGGGCAAGUCUGGUGCCACCAGCCGCGGUAAUUCCAGCUCCAAUAGCGUAUAUUAACGUUGUUGCAGUUAAAAAGAUCA